rnacentral:lncRNA from 1 species
GUGAAGCCUGUGUAACAUUUGUGACUCAGCUUCUGACUGUUCAGUGCAGGGCAAUUCCCCCAGCUGGGGAAAAAACCCACUGGGGCUCCCUGAUGCCCCACGGGAGGAGCUUUGACCAAGGGGCUCCAUGGCAACUUGCGUUUUUCAGACCAGGGCCAGUGGAGAGCUGCCAGAGCAGCGAGGAGAGGAACGGCGUCGGACGCCGGUGGAGAUGAAAGUGGGGAGAGCGGCACACGGGCUCCAGGGAGGGACAGCGAGGAGGAGAGAGCUUCAGCCCAUCCCCAGCACCACGGCUGCUGGAUAUCCCCUGUAACAUGAGUGGGGGAUCUGGACACAGUUACAAGAGAUAUUUUUCAAGAUCUUUUCAGCCUACCACUGGGCUCUUUUGAUGUGAACUGUCACUGAUCUGGAGUGAUGAUACAGCAAAAGUGUGACAUGAUGGGUUUCUUCACACCUCAGUCAUCCAUAUGUUGAUGAGAACAGUUCCAGAUCAAUUGUGCUGCUGUGCAUAAAACCCUCUAAAAUAAAAUAUUUU